AACAAAACCCAAAAUCUCUCACCUCUCUCUACUUUGUCUCUCCCCAAUUCCUCCAUAGAAGAAGGAAGAAAGCUUGAAGAAGACGGUGAAUUUCUCUAGGAUUGAACUUCAGUUUUGUUGAUUAAGCUUCAAUAAGGUGUAUGGUAAAACCAUGGUGAAAGAGUUUGAAGGAUAUUUGGAUUCAGACGUGGAUAUUAGAGAAUGAUUUGUAGACUACUUGGAUUCUCAUCUUCCAUGUUUGGUAGGUCCUUUUUUUCCGAGGAUGAUGCCAUUAUAUACAUAUUUGAUGUUGUUUCUUCUUAAAAACACCUUGUUCAUUCUUCUUUUUUUUAUUUUGCUACUAUAAUUGUAAAGCCUAAAUGUGGUUAUAAUGGUUGAUGUAAGGGCUAUGCUCAAAUUGUGAUACUCUUGUGUAGAUUGUGUAAUAUGAGACAAUGUUAUAGACUUCUUAUGAGACU